AAUAAAAUUAAAUUAUAUUACUAAAAUAGUAAAUAAUUAUUUAUUGAAACUUAAGUAAUUUGGCGGUAUUUUAGUUCAUUUAGAGGAAUUUGUUUAGUAAUUGAUAAUCCACGAAUAAAGACUAUUUAAUUUAAAAUUUUAUAUAUCGUUGUUAAAAAAAUAUUUUUUAUGAAAAAUAAUAUUUUAAAAUUAAAAUAAAAAAUUAAUUCAGAUCAAGAUGUAGAUUAUAAUUAAAUUUAAAAUGAAUUACAAUAUAAAAAAAUAAAUGGAAAAUAAUUUUGUAAUAAUUAUUGGAAAGUGGAUUUAAAUGUAAUUUUAUUUAAUUUAGUAAAAUGAUUAAAAAUUAAAAUAUGUACAUAUUGCCCGUCACUUUCAUUUUAAAAUUGGAAUAAGUCGUAACAAAGUAGAGGUACUGGAAAGUGUUUCUAGAAAGA
rnacentral:rRNA from 1 species